AACGAACGCUGGCGGCAUGCCUAACACAUGCAAGUCGAACGAAGGCUUCGGCCUUAGUGGCGCACGGGUGCGUAACGCGUGGGAAUCUGCCCUUUGGUUCGGAAUAACAGCUGGAAACGGCUGCUAAUACCGGAUGAUGACGAAAGUCCAAAGAUUUAUCGCCAGAGGAUGAGCCCGCGUUGGAUUAGGUAGUUGGUGGGGUAAAGGCCUACCAAGCCGACGAUCCAUAGCUGGUCAGAGAGGAUGAGCAGCCACACUGGGACUGAGACACGGCCCAGACUCCUACGGGAGGCAGCAGUGGGGAAUCUUGGAGCAUGGGCGCAAGGCUGAUCAAGACAUGCCGCGUGAGUGAUGCAGGCCCUGGGGUUGUAAAGCCCUUUUAGCCGGGAAGAUAAUGACUGUACCGGGAGAAUAAGCCCCGGCUAACUACGUG
rnacentral:rRNA from 1 species